rnacentral:rRNA from 1 species
UUACUGAGUUUACGCUCUACAACCCUUUGUGAACAUACCUAUAACUGUUGCUUCGGCGGGUAGGGUCUCCGUGACCCUCCCGGCCUCCCGCCCCCGGGCGGGUCGGCGCCCGCCGGAGGAUAACCAAACUCUGAUUUAACGACGUUUCUUCUGAGUGGUACAAGCAAAUAAUCAAAACUUUUAACAACGGAUCUCUUGGUUCUGGCAUCGAUGAAGAACGCAGCGAAAUGCGAUAAGUAAUGUGAAUUGCAGAAUUCAGUGAAUCAUCGAAUCUUUGAACGCACAUUGCGCCCGCCAGCAUUCUGGCGGGCAUGCCUGUUCGAGCGUCAUUUCAACCCUCAAGCUCUGCUUGGUGUUGGGGCCCUACAGCUGAUGUAGGCCCUCAAAGGUAGUGGCGGACCCUCCCGGAGCCUCCUUUGCGUAGUAACUUUACGUCUCGCACUGGGAUCCGGAGGGACUCUUGCCGUAAAACCCCCCAAUUUUCCAAAGGUUGACCUCGGAUCAGUGAUAAAGGCCC